AGGCUGCCUGUCUGGGGUUUUAGUUUUACUUUCCGAUGGCUUUUAUUUUUUUUUAUUUUAGUAGGCUAUUUCAAUGGUCUGAAGAUAAUAGUUUCAACUAUUUUGUCUGAAAUUACAAUUAAGAAUGUGCUUUUUUAGUCAGGGAGGGUGCACUAUAUAUGUGUAUUUUGGGUGGAUGCAGGUGUAUUAACUCUGGUUAAGCCUUGGCUAAUUGCUAAGUAUAUCUAGUAAUCCAGGUCUAUGUUUAGGUUCUCCUAUUCACUGUACAUUGGGUAGGAGAAGAUGGAAU